rnacentral:sRNA from 1 species
UCUCAGAAAAAAUAAAUUAAAGAAUCGAAAAAAACACAAAAAACGGACCUGAU